rnacentral:rRNA from 1 species
UACAGAGGGGGCGAGCGUUGUUCGGAAUUACUGGGCGUAGAGGGCGCGUAGGCGGCCUUCUAAGUCGAACGUGAAAUCCCCGGGCUCAACCCGGGAACUGCGUCCGAUACUGGGAGGCUUGAAUCCGGGAGAGGGAUGUGGAAUUCCAGGUGUAGCGGUGAAAUGCGUAGAUAUCUGGAGGAACACCGGUGGCGAAGGCGGCAUCCUGGACCGGUAUUGACGCUGAGGCGCGAAAGCCAGGGGAGCAAACGGG